rnacentral:rRNA from 1 species
CAGAACGAACGCUGGCGGCGCGUCUUAAGCAUGCAAGUCGAACGGCAAGAGGUAGCAAUACCUCCUAGAGUGGCGGACUGGUGAGUAACACGUGGGUGACAUACCCUUCAGAUGGGGAUAGCUAUUAGAAAUAGUAGAUAAUACCGAAUACGAGCACAGGGGUUAGAGAUCUGUGAGGAAAGGAGCUAAGGCUCCGCUGAAGGAAUGGCCUGCGGCCCAUUAGCUAGUUGGUGAGGUAAGAGCCCACCAAGGCGAUGAUGGGUAUCCGGCCUUAGAGGGUGAACGGACACAUUGGGACUGAGAUACGGCCCAGACUCCUACGGGAGGCAGCAGCUAAGAACAUUCCGCAAUGGACGAAAGUCUGACGGAGCGACGCCGCGUGGAUGAAGAAGGCCGGAAGGUUGUAAAAAUCCUUUUGAAACUGAAGAAUAAGCGUUGUAGGGAAUGACAGCGUGGUGACAGUAGGUUUUGAGUAAGCAACGGCUAAUUACGUGCCAGCCGCCGC